rnacentral:tRNA from 1 species
GGCCUUAUGGUCUAGUCGUAUGAUUCUCCCUUUGGGUUGGUUCAUCGAACUCUGCCUGGGAGAGGUCUCGGGUUCAAUUCCCGAUGAGGCCC